UGCUCUAUUACCUGGCCUGAAUGCCCCAGAAAUCUGCAGAAAUUCAACAGAGGUUUUGCUGUGCUUUCUGCUUGUCUUUGCCUUCAAACAAAAGCAUGUUCAAUGGAGACAGACAACAGAACUGGUGGAGCCCUGAGCCUGAGGGAGAGAAGUGGGAUUGUCUGUGACACCUGAACAUCUCAGAAACAUUCAGGCUCUGCUGUUGGCUCCUCUGAAUUAAAUGCAGAGCAGUUCAUUCACUUCAGUGCUGUAAAAAUCACUGGUAGCUGUGUUGAAGAGAUGCCAAUUUUUAACAAGCAGCGUCUGGUGCUUUCUGGGCCACUCUACGCAUGUGCAUUCUGUAGAGAACGACGAGCUUGCACUCUGUUUGCUUCUGGGAAUGCAUAUUUAGUAACAUUCCCUCUCUUCCCCCUCUGCUUGAGGUGGGUCACCAGGACAUAAGCUUCAUUCACAAGAAGACAUCCGAGCUUCCUCCGGUUGCUCUCUGACGGUGACUGCAGUUUUCACAC